rnacentral:rRNA from 1 species
UACAGAGGUCUCAAGCGUUGUUCGGAUUCAUUGGGCGUAAAGGGUGCGUAGGCGGCGCGGUAAGUCGGGUGUGAAAUCUCGGGGCUUAACUCCGAAACUGCAUUCGAUACUGCCGUGCUUGAGGACUGGAGAGGAGACUGGAAUUUACGGUGUAGCGGUGAAAUGCGUAGAUAUCGUAAGGAAGACCAGUGGCGAAGGCGGGUCUCUGGACAGUUCCUGACGCUGAGGCACGAAGGUCAGGGGAGCAAACGCG